rnacentral:rRNA from 1 species
CCCUUAGACGUUCUGGGCCGCACGCGCGCUACACUGACACAGGCAACGAGCUUUCCUUUACCGAAAGGUAUGGGUAAUCUUUUGAAACUGUGUCGUGCUGGGGAUAGAUCCUUGCAAUUUUUGAUCUUAAACGAGGAAUUCCUAGUAAGCGCGAGUCAUCAACUCGCGUUGAUUACGUCCCUGCCCUUUGUACACACCGCCCGUCGCUACUACCGAUUGAAUGGUUUAGUGAGAUCUUCGGAUUGGCGCCACUGCGGCUCAGCAAUGGGCUCGGUGGAUGCCGAAAAGUUGAUCAAACUUGAUCAUUUAGAGGAAGUAAAAGUCGUAACA